rnacentral:lncRNA from 1 species
UUAAUACAUGAUGAAUCUUUAAUAUAUGAUAUGAUACUUAAGGUUUGCAGAAGACAUCUUUAAAUGUAGGUGCUAUGUUUCAGAUGCACAUGAAAAUAUCGGUUGUUCAAACAUUUUACGAAUUUAUAUUUACUCCGUAUAAAGCCUGCACAGAGGCUUUCAAAUAGCAAGUGACUUUGUUGAAUUUCUUCCAAACAGAUAUUCAGGGACCCAGCUAAGUUCAAUUUUUAGAUAUGCCAUAAUUAACAUGGGACUUGAAAAAAAGAACGAAAAACAAAAAGAACGCAAGUUUCAAACAUCACAUAGAGCCACGUACUUUCAAAAGCAUUUUGACCAUGAAUCAGGGCAUUAAUUUUUCUCAUUGUAAUGUAGUCUUCCUUAGGUUCAGAACUGAAGUAAAGAUUUCAUGGAGUAAUAUUUAUCCUGUCUCUGUGCGCUGAGUUUUGACAUUUUCUAUUCUCUUCUGUUCCAUUUUGAAAGGCAGGUUGUUCUCAUAAGCACAAUAUUUCUUCUCUUCAAGGCUUUGGUGGAUGUUGCUGGACUGCUGGGUAGUGACAAGGUGGCAAGACCAGGAUUUAAACCCUCGUCCUUCUGAGGCCAGAGCCUGGGCCAUCAACCAGGACACUGCCCUCUCCC